rnacentral:rRNA from 1 species
AACGAACGCUGGCGGCGUGGAUAAGACAUGCAAGUCGAACGGGACAGACCGAGUAGCAAUAUUUGGAAUGUUCAGUGGCGAACGGGUGCGUAACACGUGGAUAACAUUCCGGAAAGCGGGGAAUAGCCCAGGGAAACUUGGAUUAAUACCGCAUGUGGCCGCAAGGCUAAAGACGGGGACCGCAAGGCCUGUCACUUUCCGAUUGGUCCGCGGCCUAUCAGCUAGUUGGCGGGGUAAUGGCCCACCAAGGCUACGACGGGUAGCUGGUCUUAGAGGACGACCAGCAACACUGGAGCUGAGACACGGACCAGACACCUACGGGUGGCAGCAGUCGAGAAUCUUUCACAAUGGGGGCAACCCUGAUGGAGCGACGCCGCGUGGAGGAUAAGGUCUUCGGAUUGUAAACUCCUGUCAUGCGAGAACGAGGUACUCAGGCUAAUAACCUGAUUGUUUGAUGGUACCGCAAGAGGAAGAGACGGCUAACUCUGUGCCAGCCGCCGCAGUAACAC